GACGAACGCUGGCGGCGUGCCUAAUACAUGCAAGUAGGACGCAGUUGCGAACGGGUGAGUAACGCGUAGGUAACUGCCUAUUAGAGGGGGAUAACUAUUGGAAACGAUAGCUAAUACCGCAUACUAGUAGAUGGACCUGCGUUGUAUUAGCUAGUAGGUAGGGUAAUUGCCUACCUGGGCGACGAUACAUAGCCGACCUGGGAGGGGGAACGGCCAAACUGGGACUGAGACACGGCCCAGACUCCGACGGGAGGCAGCAGGAGGGAAUAUUCGGCAAUGGGGGGAAACCUGACCGAGCAACGCCGCGUGAGUGAAGAAGGUUUUAGGAUCGUAAAGCGCUGGUGUUAAGGAAACGGUACUUAACCAGAAAGGGACGGCUAACUACGUGCCAGCAGCCGCGGUAAUUC
rnacentral:rRNA from 1 species